rnacentral:rRNA from 1 species
AUUGAACGCUGGCGGCAUGCCUUACACAUGCAAGUCGAACGGUAACAGGUCUUCGGAUGCUGACGAGUGGCGAACGGGUGAGUAAUACAUCGGAACGUGCCCGAUCGUGGGGGAUAACGAAGCGAAAGCUUUGCUAAUACCGCAUACGAUCUACGGAUGAAAGCAGGGGACCGCAAGGCCUUGCGCGAACGGAGCGGCCGAUGGCAGAUUAGGUAGUUGGUGGGAUAAAAGCUUACGAAGCCGACGAUCUGUAGCUGGUCUGAGAGGACGACCAGCCACACUGGAACUGAGACACGGCCCAGACUCCUACGGGAGGCAGCAGUGGGGAAUUUUGGACAAUGGGCGAAAGCCUGAUCCAGUCAUGCCGCGUGCAGGAUGAAGGCCUUCGGGUUGUAAACUGCUUUUGUACGGAACGAAAAGACUCUGGUUAAUACCUGGGGUCCAUGACGGUACCGUAAGAAUAAGCACCGGCUAACUACGUG